rnacentral:rRNA from 1 species
UACGGAGGGGGCUAGCGUUGUUCGGAAUUACUGGGCGUAAAGCGCGUGUAGGCGGCUUCGCAAGUCGGGUGUGAAAUCCCACGGCUCAACCGUGGAAGUGCAUUCGAAACUGCAAGGCUAGAGUCCUGGAGAGGAAGGUGGAAUGCUUGGUGUAGAGGUGAAAUUCGUAGAUAUCAAGCGGAACACCGGUGGCGAAGGCGACCUUCUGGACAGUGACUGACGCUGAGACGCGAAAGCGUGGGGAGCAAACAGG